CAGAAGUUGGUUUCGGGAAAACAACUUUAAAUAUCCCACUAAUUACUACAUAAUUAAUGACUGCUCUCCUGAAAAUGUUCUGUGGUGAAGCCACGGUCUGCCAACACUUGUAGGAGCAUCGCAUCGGUCCUAACAUCGCCCUCAGUCAACACAAGCACAUCGUCUUGGUAAAGGUGUAAGGCCGACAAUCCGUCUACUGGAGGAGAAUGGAGACUGUUGACAACUGAUGACCCAGCAGAUAAAGGAACAAUAUCUACCAGUAAAUAAGGACUGGAGGUAGUUGACCACUUCAUUGGAGCAGAUCGCACAAUCACUGGGAUCUUCACCAGAAUGGCCAUCCCCGGUGUGGUGCACGUGCUUAAUCAUCGG